GGUUGAUCCUGCCGGACCCCACUGCUAUCGGGAUAGGACUAAGACAUGCUAGUUGAGCGCUUCCAGCCAACACGGGAGCGCAGCGCACAGCUCAGUAACACGUGGCUAAUCUGCCCUUGGGAUAGGAACAUCCCCGGGAAACUGGGGCUAAUUCCCAAUAGGCGAAGAACUCUGGAAUGAGUCUUCACCAGAAAAGACGUUUACGUUAUGCUCGUAGGCGUCGCCCAAGGAUGAGGCCGCGACCGAUCAGGUUGUUGGUGAGGUAAUGGCUCACCAAGCCUUUUACCGGUGCGGGCCGUGAGAGCGGGAGCCCGGAGAUGGGCACUGAGACAAGGGCCCAGGCCCUACGGGGCGCAGCAGUCGCGAAAACUUUGCAAUACACGAAAGUGUGACAGGGCUAUCCCGAGUGCCAUCCGCUGAGGAAGGCUUUUACCCAGUCUAGAACGCUGGGGGAAUAAGGAGAGGGCAAGUCUGGUGUCAGCCGCCGCGGUAAUACCAGCUCUUCGAGUGGUGUGGAUGUUUAUUGGGCCUAAAGCAUCCGUAGCUGGCUGAGUUAGUCCCCUGUUAAAUCCACCGAAUUAAUCGUUGGAUUGCGGGGGAUACUGCUCGGCUAGGGGACGAGAGAGGCAGACGGUAUUUCCGGGGUAGGGGUGAAAUCCUAUAAUCCCGGGAAGACCACCAGUGGCGAAGGCUGUCUGCUAGAACGCGCCCGACGGUGAGGGAUGAAAGCUGGGGGAGCGAACCGGAUUAGAUACCCGGGUAGUCCCAGCUGUAAACGAUGCAGGCUAGGUGUUUGGACGGCCACGUGCCGUUCUAGUGCCGCAGGGAAGCUGUUAAGCCUGCCGCCUGGGGAGUACGAUCGCAAGAUUGAAACUUAAAGGAAUUGGCGGGGGAGCACCACAAGGGGUGAAGCUUGCGGUUUAAUUGGAUUCAACGCCGGG
rnacentral:rRNA from 1 species